rnacentral:rRNA from 1 species
UGGCGGCCGUAGCGCGGUGGUCCCACCUGACCCCAUGCCGAACUCAGAAGUGAAACGCCGUAGCGCCGAUGGUAGUGUGGGGUCUCAGUAGGGAACUGCCAGGCA